GACGAACGCUGGCGGCGCGCCUAACACAUGCAAGUCGAACGAGCGAGAGAGAGCUUGCUUUCUCAAGCGAGUGGCGAACGGGUGAGUAACGCGUGAGGAACCUGCCUCAAAGAGGGGGACAACAGUUGGAAACGACUGCUAAUACCGCAUAAGCCCACAGGUCGGCAUCGACCAGAGGGAAAAGGAGCAAUCCGCUUUGAGAUGGACCCGCGUCUGAUUAGCUAGUUGGUGGGGUAAUGGCCCACCAAGGCGACGAUCAGUAGCCGGCCUGAGAGGGUGAACGGCCACAUUGGGACUGAGACACGGCCCAA
rnacentral:rRNA from 1 species